AUCUAUCUUUUUUACCUUUGUGGAUAUUUUUGGCUGUGAAGAUAGUUAUUUGAAUUGUCCACACACCUCAAUUUCCUUUUAAAUAUUUAGUUUAACUGCUCCCAAACAUUGAUUUUUUUUUUAUAAUUAAUUUGUAACUCCCUCCCACCCCUUUUCUUUUGUAGAUAUUAAAGGGUUUCUUUCUGAUGUUAAACCUGGACUUCUUAGUGCACUGGAUACGGAGUAUGAGAAGAAUCCAUUUGAGGGUGCAGCAGCAGCUCCAAAGAGAACUAUUAAAUCAGCAGAACCUACAUCUGCAUCUUCUGGUGGACUAGAUGGCCUGCCACAGGAAGAUAUUAGUGGGAAGAUUACACCUACCCUGCUUAAAGGCUUAGAAAGUACUGAUUGGAAGGCUCGCUUGGAGUCAAUUGAAGCUGUGAAUAAAGUUUUGGAAGAGGCUAACAAGCGCUUCCAACCCAAUGGAACUGGUACAUUCUAUCAUGUGUUUAAAUUCUCUCUCCCUCUAUUGUUAUUAUUUAUUAUUGUACAUGCUAUUCAGCCUCCUUUAUAUCCUCCCAUUUGUUAAUUAUUGUUUAAUGUUUAUUUUUCAGCUUAAUUGUUUAAUAGUUUGUGGUCAUAUCUAAGCUUAUGCUUUCUACAUAUACUCAUGUGAAGUGAUCUCGUGUUUGUCAUUUAUUCUUUUAAAUUUCUCUCAUAUGGGUUCAUCACUAUCUUUUUUUUUUCUCCCCCUAUUUUUUUUUUGGUUGUUGGGUUUGGAAAAAUAGACCAUUCUUAAAACCUUAUAAAUUAAGCUCAUUUUAACAGGUUGGUAGGCUUUGAUAAUGAUACCGCUUGUAAUUUUUUCUGUUUGGAUUUUUUUAAAUGCAUGUAAUGAAAUAUGAAUAUAAUUUAGUAAUGCAUUUGAACUAUCUAACAUUUUCUUUGCUUGAAUUUUUUUAGUGUAAGAGUUGAAUUUGUCAGAUUAGUCUUAGUGUCCAGUCUUUAAAGUUUAAUUGGAGAGCUGAUUAUUGAAAUAUAAACUGAACUGCAAUUUGUUGGAUUCAAAACUUGGACAGUGUAUUAUACUAAACUAUUUGGUUCUGUCUCAUUUUGGUAGACCUCUGUUACUGUCUCCUUUUAGUCUUAAAGCAGUGAGUUGGCAUGUUGUAUUGGCUUCUUCUACUGUAUAUACUACUGGUAUAUUGAGAUUAUUUCUUUGGAGAAAUUCUUGACAACAUUUGUAGUUAAGACCUUUAGAAUGGAAGAAUGUAUUUCAUUAAUUUUUUUAUACAUUUCUUGUUUUGUAUUUAGUGAUAAAGGAAUCUGAAUUGGGCAUAAAUUAUGUUCUUAAGCCUAGACUAGUAUACUAAAUAUUGUAAUUACAUUUGAGUAAU